AAUUUCUCAAACCCUCGGUGCUGCCUUCUCUGCCAUCUGAAAGUUUCCCGUAGUUUUGAUUUAUAUUCUAUAUGCAUUUUUUGCCUUAAUCAAGAACAAGUACUGCGGUCUCUGCCAUCUGAAAGUUUCCCGUAGUUUUGAUAUAUAUUCUAUAUGAAUUUUUUUCCUUAAUCAAGAACAAGUUUGCGGUCUCUUUCAUUAACUUCUCUUGAAAUGAUUCGCAGUUUGUUUACCAAUUUCUAUAUUGCAUUCUUAGUUCUGGUUUAUUCAAUUGUUGAUAUAUAUUUUGCAUGUAUUUUUCUCAGUGCUCAUAGAAUCGGAAGACAACUGAUUUGAUUGAAAAUAAUGUGUGUAGGGAAGUUAUUAUUUUGUGUUCAGUUGCACUCGCACUCUAUUUUAUGGAGAUCGAAUUCUGACUUUGGGCUUCUUGAAUUGCACUGUACGCUAGAAGUUGCUCCAUGGCAGGAAGGAAUAGAGGCUUAUGACAUAGCUGCAGAAAAAGUUGGGUCACUCGUUGUCGGAAUGUUCGAGAAAGAAAAGAUGCCCGAAAUGUGACGAGGUGGAAAAAAAUAGUGAAAACAAAGGACGACUAUUCCAUUGCUGUACUCAUAACUGUAGGCAUUUCAAGUGGUCUGAUGUUUUGCCAUAUGACGAUGGGAUAGUGCAUUACGAAGGUGAAUCAAGUGGCUCUUCUUUAGGAUCAUAUAAGUUCAACGAUCCAAUUAUGGACCCCGUUAAGUGUGUUCUAAAAAUGUGUUAAUGUAGCCGAUGAAAAUGACCAUUUGGAGACUUUUCUCAAUAUAACACUUCGCAAAGGGAAACGAGAUUUGGAUGACGAGGAGAAAGCAAAAAAAAAAAAAGGUGUUAAUUAGGUGGUGUACUGUUAAUGUAAUCAAACGUUUGAAUGAAUUGUUUUGCAUUUUCUAUUGAACGACUUUUGAAUGUUCUCUAUUUGUGGCAUUCCUGUUAGUGAACAUUAACUUCAAAUCAAG
rnacentral:lncRNA from 1 species